rnacentral:lncRNA from 1 species
GGAUGGAGUCUCCAGCUGUGAAAGUGUUGCUGCAGACAGCCCUCAGCUUCCAGUUCUUGUAAAAAUGGCCUCAGCUUCAGAGAGCUCCAUUACCCAAGCUCAUUCAUUUCCUGGGGUGUUCUGCAUCCAGUGAGUGUUCUGUGGACUUGCCAGAACACUCACUUUUGGAACCUGGCCACCAUGUUGGAAGGAAUCCCAGAGCACAUGAGGAGGCCUUUUGGGGGUGUUCCAGCUGACAGCCUUAGCUAAGGUCUUAGCUAAUAGUCAGCAUCAACUGCUGGCAAGUGAACAAGGCUUCAGAUGAUUCCAGCCCUCAGCUUUCCAGCUGAAAACAUUGUAAAGCAAAU